rnacentral:rRNA from 1 species
GACGAACGCUGGCGGCGUGCCUAAUACAUGCAAGUCGAACGCAGUGGGGACGGGUGAGUAAUAUGUGGGUAACCUCCCAUCAGAGGGGAUAACACUUGGAAACAGGUGCUAAACUGAUACUGAUGGUUGGAACAGCGGUGCAUUAGCUAGUUGGUGAGGUACCGGCUCACCGACGCCAAGAUGCAUAGCCGACCUGAGAGGGUGAACGGACACACUGUGACUGAGACACGGCCCAGACUCCUACGGGAGGCAGCAGUAUCGAAUCCUCGGCAAUGGACGCAAGUCUGACCGAGCAACGCCGCGUGUGUGAAGAAGGUUUUCGGAUCGUAAAACUCUGUUGUUAGAGAAGCGGUAUCUAACCAGAAAGCCACGGCUAACUACGUGCCAGCAGCCGCGGUAAUUC